rnacentral:lncRNA from 1 species
CUUAAUCAUCUCAAGAAUAUAAAUGUGUCUUGUUCUAGUCAAAAGAUGAAUGCUCUACUUUGUAGGUUCAAGAAAUCUGUGUCUCACAACAAUGGAGCCUAUAAUUAUUCUCCUAGACACUAGCCUCAAUAUGCAAAUUAAAGGGGGAAAUGCCCAAGAGGACUUAGAGAGCAGUAGUAGGAGCAAUCUGCAUAGUCCUGUAAUGCUCAGAAGGCCAUCCUUUGAAUCUUUUCAAGUGCAGACCUGCAAGUUUUUAACAAAUGCAGUAGCUAAUUGAGAAGUAUGAUCUAGUUACUGAGGGCCACCGGUAACAUCAUCUUCCUCGUAGCCCUUUCCUCCUUUUGCCUGGCUGUUCCAGAUAAUCUUGCUCAUCACAGACAGAUUCAUUUGUGAAUACGUAAUUUCAUUUUCGUGUUCACUUGCGAACACGAAAAUGAAAUUUCAUAUUCUUGGCAGUGGGACGGUGGAACAGUCUGUCUCUAUUUCUCCUGCAAAUGAGGCAGACUACUCCACUGACAAGAGGUAUACUGGCAACAUAGUUUCUUCUUCAGGUUUUCUGGCACUGCUAACCCUGUAGUGGGCAGAAAUGCAGUCCCCUAAUAAAAAGAUGUUUUACCAUUGACAUCCACAAUUUCAAAAAAACUGGAGGAAGUUAAACAAUCAUCACCUGAUUAUCCACAAAGUAGGAGAUUUUAUUAUCCAGGGUGGUCCAAGGUCAUUUGGAAAUGGUGUGCGAGUGGGGGAGGGAUGCAAAAAAGGGCAAUAAAAUCUGACUGCAGGAGCAUGAAAUCCUUCAGUGUUGAAGAAUUAUAAAU